CCUACGGGGGGCAGCAGUGAGGAAUAUUGGUCAAUGGACGAGAGUCUGAACCAGCCAAGUAGCGUGAAGGAUGACUGCCCUAUGGGUUGUAAACUUCUUUUAUACGGGAAUAACGCGCCUUACGUGUAGGGCUUUGCAUGUACCGUAUGAAUAAGGACCGGCUAAUUCCGUGCCAGCAGCCGCGGUAAUACGGAGGGUCCGGGCGUUAUCCGGAUUUAUUGGGUUUAAAGGGAGCGUAGGCCGCAUGUCAAGCGUGCUGUGAAAUGUCCGGGCUCAACCCGGGCCUUGCAGCGGGCACUGGCGUGCUUGAGUCCGCGGAAAGCAGGCGGAAUUCGUGGUGUAGCGGUGAAAUGCUUAGAUAUGACGAAGAACCCCGAUUGCGAAGGCAGCUUGCUGCAGCGGAACUGACGCUGAUGCUCGAAAGCGCGGGUAUCGAACAGGAUUAGAUACCCGGGUAGUC
rnacentral:rRNA from 1 species